UGGAUCAAUGAUGACUACUGAGGCGUAUGAGUCGUAUACGGUGAAUAUGUGUCUGGAACUCUGAGGUCCGA